AUGGGCCAAAAUUGGAAUGAUGGGCCAAUGGGCCCAAUUCGGAAAUCCCCAACCAUAGUGGGCUUAGAGCUUUGAGGGAAUUCGGAGUGGCCACCCGUUCUGAAAGUUUGAUUUUCUUCUGGUGAACUGGACAUCCUUUUAAUUACGUUUGAGGUUUUGGGCUUUUAAAUGUAAUAAGGCCGCUUAUUUAUUUUUGAUGGUUUUGAUAUGUUUUACUAAGAUCGGUAUUACUUA